AUUGAACGCUGGCGGCAUGCCUUACACAUGCAAGUCGAACGGCAGCGGGCCUUCGGGUGCCGGCGAGUGGCGGACGGGUGAGUAAUGCAUCGGAACGUGCCAUUGAGUGGGGGAUAACGUAGCGAAAGUUGCGCUAAUACCGCAUAUUCUGUGAGCAGGAAAGCAGGGGACCGCAAGGCCUUGCGCUCUUUGAGCGGCCGAUGUCAGAUUAGCUAGUUGGUGAGGUAAAGGGCUUACCAAGGCGACGAUCUGUAGCGGGUCUGAGAGGAUGAUCCGCCACACUGGAACUGAGACACGGUCCAGACUCCUACGGGAGGCAGCAGUGGGGAAUUUUGGACAAUGGGGCGAACCCUGAUCCAGCCAUGCCGCGUGAGUGAAGAAGGCCU
rnacentral:rRNA from 1 species